UGGAUCAUUGCCACCAUUUUAGUCAGUGCUCUGUUGGUGGCAGUGGGACUGUAUCACUUUGGCAAAGGUUACUGGAAGAGAGAUGCCAGUGCAGUGAAUACAGACAUAGCAACGUAUGCUGUUGUAAGAAAAAACAGAAAGACUGAAGACAAAGCUGCAUCACAGUCUAGACCUUUUUACUACAGCUUAGGCCUCAGUGACACUCAACCACAGGAAGCAGGAACCAGCAGAGAGAUGUCCUCAGGAAGUCCUUGCCAACCCAUCGCAGUGGAUCCCUUCUAUUCUGUAAUACAGUAGGUUGCAGAGAGAAAGCUGUCUAAAGACAUAAUCACAUCUAUGUGAGAAUGAAAACAAAUAAGUAACCCAGUUUUAUCACGCAUUGUUUUUGUUAUUAAUCAUGUUGUACAUUGUCAUCUGGGUUUGGUGUACGUGUCUAUAAACUGUUAUAGGUUUUCUUUUUUCCGUCAGAUACAGCUAGUUGCCAUUCCCGCGUGGUUAUAAAUACAUAUAUAGACUGAACCAAGCACAGACACCUGCCUCUUAUUUAGAAGUUGAACUUUAACCAAUGCAUUUGAUCUUCUUUCUGUUUUUACACAUGUAUGAAUGCUGUUACAAUAAAAGAGCUGCUGCAGCUUUCAAAGACACCCACU
ensembl:lncRNA